rnacentral:rRNA from 1 species
GAUGAACGCUGGCGGCGUGCUUAACACAUGCAAGUCGAACGGAAAGGCCCAAGCUUGCUUGGGUACUCGAGUGGCGAACGGGUGAGUAACACGUGGGUGAUCUGCCCUGCACUUCGGGAUAAGCCUGGGAAACUGGGUCUAAUACCGGAUAGGACCACGUCUUGGAUGUUGUUGUGGAAAGUUUUUUCGGUGUGGGAUGAGCUCGCGGCCUAUCAGCUUGUUGGUGUGGUAAUGGCCUACCAAGGCGUCGACGGGUAGCCGGCCUGCGAGGGUGUACGGCCACAUUGGGACUGAGAGACGGCCCAGACUCCGACGGGAGGCAGCAGGGGGGAAUAUUGCACAAUGGGGGCAAGCCUGAUGCAGCGACGCCGCGUGGGGGAUGACGGCCUUCGGGUUGUAAACUCCUUUCGCUAGGGACGAAGCGUUUUUGUGACGGUACCUGGAGAAGAAGCACCGGCUAACUACGUG